rnacentral:rRNA from 1 species
GGUCCAGACUCCUACGGGAGGCAGCAGUGGGGAAUAUUGCACAAUGGGCGAAAGCCUGAUGCAGCAACGCCGCGUGAAGGAAGAAGGGUUUCGGCUCGUAAACUUCUAUCAACAGGGACGAAAGAAAUGACGGUACCUGAAUAAGAAGCCCCGGCUAACUACGUGCCAGAAGCCGCGGUAAUACGUAGGGGGCAAGCGUUAUCCGGAUUUACUGGGUGUAAAGGGAGCGUAGACGGCAAUACAAGUCGGAAGUGAAAUACCCGGGCUCAACCUGGAAACUGCUUUGGAAACUGUAUGGCUGGAGUGCUGGAGAGGUAAGCGGAAUUCCUAGUGUAGCGGUGAAAUGCGUAGAUAUUAGGAGGAACACCAGUGGCGAAGGCGGCUUACUGGACAGUAACUGACGUUGAGGCUCGAAAGCGUGGGGAGCAAACAGGAUUAGAUCCCCC